CUUCAAUUGCCCAAGUUUAAAACAGCCGGACAGAUUAAUUCAAUCAAACUUGGAAAAAAAAAAUCCCUCUGGACUGAGACCAAAAAUAGGAUGUUUUUGCCAAAAAAAGAAGCUUUUUAGGAAAGUUUGGAGUAACGCAGACAGGCUUGUGAGGGGGAGGCUGAGAAACCCGGAUACCAGCACAGCCAAGGGAAGGCUCAGAUGGCAGCAUCCGAAACCUCUGACAAACCCCUUUCUUGUGGUUGGGGUCCCUCUGCCUGCUCCCCGCUGGGUACCGAGCAGGGGGCUGCCCAGCUGUUGGAGCUGGGUCCCGGCCAGGGCUCCUGCCUGCCCAGCCCUGCUCUCCCGAGAGGCCUCUAACUCUCCUUCUCCAGGCUCUACUGCUCCCUCCAGGGAGCUGCCGGCAACUGUCCUCCUCUGUCCCCACUCCGGCUCCUGUGACAGAUGUCACCCAUGCAGCCAUAGGGUCACAUCCACCCUGACCUGCCCAGGAGGGUCUGGCUCACCUGUGCCCGCUGUGGGGCUCUGCUGUCGCAUCCCAGUCCCCUUAUCCCGGCUCUGCCCUGUUCCCUGGAACAGCUCUGGUCCACGGUGUGGCUGGGUCUGGCAGGGGGAGAUGGGUGCUGUGGUGGUAGGGGAGGUUGUCCAGGCCAGCCCUGCUGCAGCAUCUCCAUGCACCCAGACAAGGGGAUGUGCUGGGACCUGGGGCACCCAAAGCAGGGUGCAGACAGUGCCCAUGAGUCCUCAACAGGCGGGAGAUGGGGUGCGCAAGGACCCCCAGGCAUGCUGUUUGGAGCUGCUGCCUGUGAACACGAGGGCUCUGUGUCCCCCAGCCUUCCCUUCCUUGACCCUCUCUGGUGUCCAGGGCUGGCCACACCAGCAUGGUGCAUACAUCUGUGAGGGUGGUGGGCUCUUGGGGGCUGGCAGAGAGCUGGGGCAACCCCAGGGCACCCCUCAGCCCUCCUGGCAUCACAGAAACCUCCCCACUCCUGGGCUCUGUUUUCAACUACCAACAUCUCACCUUAUCCAAAUCCCCUCCCACUCCCACUGCCUCGUUACUCACCCUCUAAUGAAGGCAGCAGCCAUUCUCCAUCUCCAGGGAGGGGGGGCCUCUGACUUUGCCUACCCCCGGAGAGGGGAGCUGCGGAAGAAGGGGCUGCUAAGGUGACUCCAUGCCCUGCUCACCCUUCAUGGGGACCAGCACCCUCCACCCAACCCC
rnacentral:lncRNA from 1 species